rnacentral:tRNA from 1 species
GGGGGGAUUCCGGAGCGGUCAAACGGGGCAGACUGUAAAUCUGUUGGCACAGCCUUCGGAGGUUCGAAUCCUCCUCCCCCCA